rnacentral:rRNA from 1 species
UACGUAGGGUGCAAGCGUUGUCCGGAAUUAUUGGGCGUAAAGAGCUCGUAGGCGGUCUGUUGCGUCCGCUGUGAAAACCCGGGGCUUAACCCUGGGCUGGCAGUGGAUACGGACAGACUAGAGGUAGGUAGGGGAGAAUGGAAUUCCCGGUGUAGCGGUGAAAUGCGCAGAUAUCAGGAGGAACACCGGUGGCGAAGGCGGGUCUCUGGGCCGAUACUGACGCUGAGGAGCGAAAGCGUGGGGAGCGAACAGG